rnacentral:rRNA from 1 species
UACGAAGGGGGCUAGCGUUGCUCGGAAUCAUUGGGCGUAAAGGGCGCGCAGGUGGCUCUGUAUGUCUGCCGUGAAAGCAUACAGCUCAACUGUAUUGUGUCGGUAGAAACUGCAGGACUUGAGGCUGGGAGGGGCUGGUGGAAUUCCCUGUGUAGCGGUGAAAUGCGUAGAGAUGGGGGAGAACACUCGUGGCGAAGGCGGCCAGCUAGACCAGUUCUGACACUGAGGCGCGACAGCGUGGGGAGCAAACAGG